CACCCGCAGCACGAGUAGUGGUCACUUUUAUUGAGCCUAAAGCGUUCGUAGCCGGUUUUGUGAAUCUUCAGAUAAAGCCUGAAGCUUAACUCCAGAAAGUCUGAAGAGACUGCAAGACUUGAGAUCGGGUGAGGUUAAACGUACUUUCAGGGUAGGGGUAAAAUCCUGUAAUCCCGGAAGGACGACCAGUGGCGAAAGCGUUUAACUAGAACGAAUCUGACGGUAAGGAACGAAGGCUAGGGUAGCAAACCGGAUUAGAUACCCCAGUAGUCC
rnacentral:rRNA from 1 species